GGUCGGGGGGUUGGUUGUUCCUUGUUCCGUACGCCACGGUCGAGGGAGGAACCGGGCCCAGAGGGGGGUUGGGGAAGUGGCCCAAACCUGCCAGCCAACCUAGCCCCCGGGUCCAGCCUCCGCCUGAGACCCAUCUUGGUCCUCAGCGUUCUACACGUUUCUGCUUCACCCUCCCCCCAGUUCCGUCGGGAAGUCGGAAUCUCCAGAUCUGCUUCUCUGUAUAGGACUGUCGGUGAUCCGGCUGGAGACCUUGAGGUAAAUCAGCAUCAGUCUAGGGGCCUUGGUGCCCCGACUCGGAUCCCUGGAUUCAAGGUAGAUCACGGGCCUUGCCCAGCUGCGCCUGGAGACCGCUGGCUUCUCCCUCUCUCUGCCUCUUUUCUUUUGUAAGGCACCCCUCUUUGGCGGGAAGCUGGGAUUUUGCGCCAUUUGGGGAAAGGAUUUCUUGAACCUUAUUCCUAAACUGCUCCUGCGACAUUGCCAAAUCCAGUGCUAUGUCGGGUAGAAUUCACAGGACUCUUAAGGUUUUAUUUUUGUUACCAAGAAAGCAGGGUGAAUGACUUUGGACUCUUCUGUUGCCUAGUCUGUCUCUACCGACACUCCUUUGCCCUCGUGCUACCUUCCAUUGCGCCCAACUCCAGUAAUCCCACUCUGUGCAGCUCCUGUAAUCAGAGACCUGGGGAAUCAGAGAAUCCUCCCGUUAUUCUAGAUAGACAAUCUUUUCUUAACUACAUCCCAACUCUUAAGGGGGAAACAGAGCCCUUUCUACGCUACAAGUACCUGUACUUCUCCGGAUUCCCUUGGCCAAUCCCAAACCCUUCUUCCCUAUGCUCUUCUGUACCCAACGAUACCCCAGGUUGAAAAUGCUGGUCCUGCUGGAGUAAGCCAUAGUGGAACUUCCUAUCACCCAGGAUCAGGGAGAAUAUGCCCACUUAGGGAAGUGGCAAAUGGCAAAGGCACAAUCAAGAUUACAUGCGCCCUUCUUAAUCGAUUUAGCCCAUUGCAAACAUAGACUGGGCCAAUUUUCUGAAGACCCUAGUAGCUUCACGGGGGAUUUCAGGCCCUAACCCUGGCCCUUGAUUUAACUUGGAAGGACGUCCAAAUGGUCUUACCUACCUCCUGUACCCAUGAGGAGAAGCAGAGGGUAUGGGCAGCAGCACAGGUGUACGCUGACCAGUUUGCCAGGGACCAGCCCGACAUUUAUGCUGUUCGGGAUGCAGUCCCAAAUCAUAUAAACCCAUUUGGGAUUAUAAUUGCCUGGGGAGGAAAGGCCAGGAAACACAAGGUCCAGUGCCUAUUAGAAGGAACGAGAAAGUGCAUUUGGAAGCCAGUCAACUAUGAAAAGGUCAAGGAAGUGACCCAAGAGGAAGAAGAAAGCCCUGUUCUCUUUCAGGGACAGCUUGUGGAGGCUUUUUAGAAAAUUUGCUAACAGAUCUCUCUGCUCCCAAGGUUCAGUCCUUGCUGCCCCUGAUGUUAGGCAAAAACUGCAAAAGUUACAGUUAGGCCCACAAACUCCUAGAGCUGGCCUUUGGAAUAUUUAAUGGAUAUCAAACUGAGGAAGAGGAUAGAACUCAACAUGGAAAAAGGCAGGCCAAAGCUCAAGCUAAACUGAUAGCUGUUGCUGUCAGCCAUGCCUUGCAACCUCAGGGCAACCCAAAGGGGGCAGGAAGGUUGAACCAUCAGUCCAGAGGCGAGACCAAGGGGGAAUGCUUCAAAUGCAAGUCACCUGGCCAUUGGGCCCAUGAGUACCAGAAGAAGCUCCCGGCCCUUGCCCAGUCUGCAAACAGACCAGUCAUUGGAGAUGGGACUGCCCUUGGUCCCCAAGGGGAAUGGGGGCUCCUGCUCCUGCUCCUGAGAUGGCCAUGCUGGAUGACUGAAGCAACCCAGGGAUUCUGGCGGCUCCCCCCGCCCCGACCCCACAAGAUGUCUUAUCUCCCUUGAGGAGCCCCUGGUGGCAGGUAAGAUCAAUUUUUUAAAUUGAUACAGGAGCCACUUACUCUGACCUGAUUUUUCACGCUGGGCCUCUUUCCUCUAAAAGCUGCAGUGACUGGUGUUAAUGGAAAGCCUUGUACCCUUCACUUCACUGGGGCUCUCACUUACCAUUUUGAACAUGCCUUUUUAGUUGAGUGUCCUACCCCACUACUAGGGAGAGAUCUUUUGGGCUCCCUCAAGGCGAUAUUACUGUUAGGAGGCCCCGAGCAGAGCAGCCCCUUAUCUUAACCCUGGCUAAGGCAGAUCAACACAAGAGCAAGGGCUUGUUCCCAGCGAUAUUCUACAAGCAGUGAACCCUGCAGCAAACUGGACAAAGGGGAGUCCCUGGGAGGGCUAUAAAUGCCCAACCUGCAGAAACUAGCCUUAAGCCAGAAGCUGCUUACCCUAACCAGAGACAGUAUCCCAUUAGGUUAGAGGCAAAAGGGGGGUUACAACCCCUCAUACAUAAAUUCUUAAAAUAUGGCCUCUUGGUUCCCUGUCAGUCUCAAUGCAAUUCUCCUAUUCUGUCAGUUAAGCCUCAUGGGGGGAUAUAGGGUGGUGCAAGACCUCAACAGUAAGAGGCAGUGGUUCCUAUACUCCCCCUUGUGGCCAAUUCUUAUAAGAUACUAGCCCAAAUCCUUGAAAAUGGUAAAUGGUUUACUGUGCUCGACUUUACGGAUGCCUUCUUUUACAUCCCAGUUCAUCCCUCACAAUAUUUGUUUGCCUUCGAGUGGACUAACCCCCACUCGGGCCAAAUGCAACAAUACACCUGGACAGCACUACCUACCACGGGUUUGGGCACAGCUCACAGUGUUUGCCCAGGCCCUAGGAAGGGAACCAAGGGGAAAUAGGCCUAAAAGGGGCUAUGCUACAGUAUGCAGAUGAUAUAUUAACAUGUAGCCCCACCGUGGAGGCUCAAGUGAGAACAUCAUUGAAGUUCUUAAUUUCCUUGAGGUCCAGGAUUACAGGGUCUCCCAGAAAAAGGCACAAAUCUCAAUGCAACAAGUUAAGUACAUGGGACACGUUAUAAACCCUGGAAGUAGACAGCUGUCGCAAGAUAGAAAAGUGUUAGGCCUAAGUGCCCCAAAGACGUUUCUUUGUACCUUUUUACAAAGGUAAAAAGGCAGGGUUUUGCUGACUCUGGAUCCCAGGGUUUGGGCUAAUGUCUAAGCUCCUAUAUGAAGCUAUUAAAAGCCCAGAUACAGAACCAUAACAUUGGGCUGAGGAACACAGGAAAAGGCUUUUAAUAGUAUCAAACAGGUCCUCAUUAAAGCUCCUGCUCUGGGUCUCCUCAGUUUUAAAAAGCCAUUCAUUUUGUAAGAAGUCCUAACCCCCUAAAAGCUCUGGGGGUCCUAAAAGAAACUAGAAGUUCCUCAGCCAAUAGGCUAUUUUUCCACACAACUAGAUGAUGUGCCCCAAGGUUGGCCUGGCUGCUUUCGGCCAGCAGCUGCCACCACUUUAUCAGUGGAAGAAGCUAACAAGCUUACCUUGGACAGCCACUGAAGUCCAGACCCCUGCCCCCCAACAUCAAGUACAAAGGACACUAGAGAUCAGAGGCCACCGUACUAAGUACCAGCGUUUACUUCUUGACUCCCAAGAGGUAACCCUCAAAACUCCCAACACUGAGAAAAACGGAACCCUCUUAACACUGUUGGUGGGAAUGUAAAUUGGUGCAGCCACUAUGGAAAACAGUAUGGAGGUUCCUAAAACUACAGUUGCCAUAGGAUCCUGCGAUCCCACUCCUGGGCAUAUACCCAGACAUUUGAAAAGAUACAUGCACCCCAGUGUUCACUGCAGCACUAUUUGCAACAACCAAGACCCGGAAACCUAAAGGUCCAGUAGAGUAGUGGAUAAAGAUGUAGAUAUAUACAAUGGAAUACUACUUAGCCAUUAAAAAGAACGAAAUAAUGCCAUUUGCAGCAACAUGGAUGGACCUAGAAAUACUAAGCGAAGUAAGUUAGACAUACCAUAUAUCAUUUAUUUGUGGAAUCCAAACUACAGCACAAAGGAACAUCUGUGAAACAAAAAUAGGCUCAAGACAGAGAAAAGACUUGUGGCCUGGGGGAGGGAAGGACUAGGAGUUUGGGGUAGAUGCAAACUAAUACAUAGGAUAGAUAAACAACAGGGUCGUACUAUAUAGCACAAGAAACUAUUCGGUAUCUUGUAAUAAACCAUAAUGGAAAAGAUGGAAAAAUAUAUACAUAUAACAAUCACUUUGCUGUACACCAGAAACUAACAACAUUGUAAAUCAACUCUACAUUAAUAAAAUUUAAAAAUUGCCACACCCUCAAACCAACUACACUGAUGCCUGCUGAAGUCCCAAAGGUAAUACAUUCCUACCUUGACCAGGUUUGUCCCUAUAGGCCUCAUGACAGAUCAAGACUUGACAAUCCUGAGGAAGAAUGGUUUACUGAUCGCAGUUCAUUAAGGACGGGCUCAGGAGGGCAGAGCAUCAUAGAGGUGAAAACUUUGUGCUGCCCAACGUGGCAGCCCAGAAGGCCGAACUCUAACCCAAGCCUUAACCCUAGGGGAAGGAAAAAUUAUAUACACAGGCUCUGUGUAUGCCUACCUCUACAUGCCAAUGGAGCCAUAUGGAAACAGGACUUGAAUGCAAAAAACUCCCCUGUAAAGUAUGGGGCUGAGAUCUCACAGAGGCAGCUCAAAAACCAAACAAAUCAAGUAACAGUCAUUCACUGCCAUGGACACCAAAAGGGAAUCUCCCAAAUUAUCAAAGGGAACAACAGGGCAGAUGGAGAAGCAGAGAAAGCGGUCUUGAUACAACAAAUGACAUUAAUUCCAUCCCUUACCCCUUCUAACAUGCCCAGGUACUCCUGAGGAAACCUGGGCGCAAGAAAAAGGGUGAACUAAGGGAACAGAAGUCUGGUGGCACAUCAAUCGCUUUUUCUGACCAAUGGAAAAUUCAAGGGCUACGUGAUUUUUCUCCAUCUGGGGAAGGAUACUAUGUCUACAGUGCUUUUCUGGCUUUUAAGGAGAAAAUGACUCCCAGAUAUGAUCAAAUGGUUACUCGAGCCUGUGCCCUCUGUGCCACCCAUAAUAAGGAGGCCAUCUCAAGCCCCUCCCCUGCCUUUUGUGAGCCCAGUCCAGCAACAUGGGCCUUAGCCAGGAGAGGACUGGCAAAUGGAUUUCACUCAGGUGGCUUCUUUCCAGGGCUUCAAAUAUUAGUCUUUGUGGGUAGUUUUACUGGAUGGGUGGAGGCCUUUCCCACUAGCACAGAAAAGGCAACUGAAGUGGCUAGAGCGCUUCUGAAGGCAAUUAUCCCUAGGUUUGGGUUGCCCUGACACCUCCAGAUUGACAGUGGACCCUCAAUUCAUAGCAAAGGUUACCCAAAAGACCCUAGGAAAUAGAUACUACCUUUAUUUGUCCUGCAGACCUCAGUCCUCAGGAAAGGUGGAACAGCCAAAUAAUACCCUAAAGAAAACCUUGGGUAAGCUCUUGUCAUUAAAUAGCAGAACCUGAUAAUAGCAGGGGUACCACCUGCUGCCAGCAACUCUUUAGGGGCAGCCCCUAAAACAACUAGGUUGAGCCCCUUUGAAAUGACAUAUGGUAGGCUAUUCCUCACCCUGGACAUGGUAACCAGCUUAGAAACCUAGGCACACCUUAAAUACAUUAACCUGGGCCAGGUCCGAAGGGGGCUAUUCAAGAAUAUGGAAACAGUUCACCUCUCCCCCAGAUAACAGCCCCAGUUACUCCAUUGUAAACCCUGGGUACUGGGACCUGGAAAAAUGAGUCCUCUGGUGACCAGGUACUCCCAAAGCAAGAGUCUUGAUCAAGUUUUGCUAAGCACCCCUACAGCGGUUAAACUUAAUGGAGUCACUAGUUGCGUCCAUCUACCCAGAAUUAAACCUGCUUCCACUGAUCUGUUACAGGAACCUGAAGACCCACAUCCCAGCUAUUCCCGUGAACCUGCCCAAGACCUCAAAUAUCUCUUCAAGAAGGUGACCCCCAAGCCAGUGACAACCGCAUUGAUAAGUAAACUCUCACUCUGACAGUAAUUAAUUUGGGGCUCUCCGGGUAACAAAAGCAAGAUAAAUGACAGUAGGCUGGGAGCCCGUAUUUGCUACUGGGCUCUUGUUUACUGCAGGAUUUCUUUUAACGCUACUUGCAUUCCGGUUGCUUCCUAAAUUAGAAUUCUGAUUGAUGUCAUUAUGAAGUUAUUAGUCACCCUAACUUUUCUCUUCCUCCUCUGGGGAUUCAUGUCAGGGGAGUGAGGAUCCAACGCAAUAGUAAAUCUCUCAAGAAUUAUUGCAGGACUUCCCUAGUGGCGUAGUGGAUAAGACUCCACACUCCCAAUGCAGGGGGCCUGGGUUCGAUCCCUGGUCAGGGAAUUAGAUCCCACGUGCAUGCCACAACUAAGGAGCUGGCAAGCUGCAACUAAGGACCCCUGGAGCUGCAACUAAGGAGCCCGCCUGCCACAACUAAGACCCGGUUCAACCAAAUAUAUAAAUAUUUUUUUUAAAAUUAUUGCUCAGGGAGAGAAUCUGUCUCAGUGCUGGGUCUACCGUCCCAAUCCUCAAAGCGACGCCUAUCAGCUUAAAGAACUAAGCUACAUACCCAGUAAUGAUGACCUUGAACUUAACUCUGGCUGAAGGUCCUGCGACCCCUGCUCCCCUCAGAGUCCACAUCCAGCCCUUGGCACAGCUUCCAUGCCUGGACCUGACCCCUCUCGUUAGUGCAUCCAGCACACAAAGCUACCCCCAUCAAAGCAUAUUUGUUUUGUACUCCGUCAUAAAGGUAACUCAUCUUGCUGCCCAUGCCAGGAGCCUGGAACUAAAUUCUGCAAUGCACCAGCAGUUGACAUCACCACCAUUACCCAUAAUUUUAAUUGCGAAGAUCAAACAGGCAAUGCCACCCAUUGGUUCCUCCAAGAUCAGUUGGCCGGUGGGAUGUGUCUCCUGGACAGGCCUGGCGCCAAGCGUCUAACACACAUCUUCCUUGCAUGAGGUACAUGUUUUUUGCCUCUCCCAAAGCCUUCGAGAAGACUCAUACACCCUUAUUCAGUGGUGGGAUCCUCUCCUCCAACUGUACCGGAACCCCCACCUUGGGCAGACUCUGCUGAAGUAGUUUAAUUCCACAACAGUACGUCAGGCAUGUGCCCCUCCCAGACAUCUAUUCCUUUGUGGUCCAGGUGCAAACUGACUGUCCUCUUCAAAAAAAACCCAAUUCCUCUUUCCCUUUCCUGGGAUUAGCUGUGGCCUUUCCUUGUAUAGACAGUGCUCUGUUUACAGGACAGUGUAACACUAGUAAUCAAACAAACCCAGGGAUUGCCAUCUAUAAUAUCACCCACCCCUGGGGCAAAAGGGCAAUUGUCCUCCUUUCAGCAGGAAAUGGAGCUGCCGUUGGUUUGGUGGCCCCUUGGGAGGCUUUGUUUAUCAUGAAGUGGUGCUCCACAAUCUUUCAGAAGCCCUGUCCUGAGUGAAUCCACAGGGAAUGCACUCACCAGACUCUCAUUGUCUCUAAGUUCCUUGGCUAGUAAAGUGAUGGCUAAUAGACUGGCCUUGGACUUCCUCCUAGCCAAACAAGGAGGAGUAUGUGCAGUUCUCAGUAAGACAUGUUGCACCUACAUCAAUAACACUGGGCUAGUAGAAGAGAACGUCAAGAAAAUGUGACCACGCCAAAUGACUUCACUCCUUCAGACAGGGUAACCCAAGCGCUGACCUAGACUGCAAUUAAGGAGAUGUUACCAAGUGUGACCUAGUUCUUAGCCCCUGCUUGGGCCUCUAGUUGCCAUAACCCUUUUACUGAACUUUGGCCCCUGCCUUUUUAAUCUGCUUGUUAAGUUUGCUUCCAGGUUGCAACAAUUCCACAUCAAGAUGAUGGUGAUGCAGGGAUUCCAGCCAUUCCCUGACAUAGAUCCUACUGGAAUAACAGCAGAAGUCACCCUGGGGCCCCUGGACAAGAUAGGGCAAGAGUUCCGUGGCCCCAGUUAGGUAGGGUCCACGAGCCCAGUGCCAGCCUGCAGAAGCUACAGAAGACAGACCUCUGCCUCACAUCCUCCCAAUAAAGAGUUCUUGGGGUCCACGUCACUUGGGAGAUUUGAGGUAAGAGAAAGGUGGCUGAGCAGCUGCAACCAUUCUCCUGCUGACACUUCAAGAUAAGGUAUUAGCAGGAGCUUCGGGUCCUGACUGGGUGGAAGACAAAGCGACUACAGUUUCCUCAUUCUUGUGGUCAAGGGGAUUUUCCAGCCCAACACAUCUGUUUCACAGUCUUGGUCUCUUCUGGAUUCUUCGUCUCGUUGGAUUCUUUCCUCAAAGAAGACAUCUGUAAGUCUCUGAAGUGCUCAGCAAUAAAGCAAAGGUGGUGAGUU